rnacentral:lncRNA from 1 species
UUUUUUUUUUUUUUUUUUCCUUUUUUCUUUUUGGCCACACCCAAGGCAUGUAGAAGUUCCCAGGUCAGCGCUCGAACCCACGCCACAGGAGUGACAAUACUGAAUCCUCAACUGCUAGGCCACCAGGGAACUCUCUCCGCCUCUAUCUUUACCGCACCUUCUCUUCUGCGUCUUCUCCCUGAAUGUGGCUUCUAGGGACACUUGCUGGAAGCAGGGGUCACCCUGCUAAUUCUGGAUAAUCUCAUCUCGAGAGAUCCUUAAUUACAUCUGCAAAGACCCUUUUCCCAAACAAGGUCACAUUCAUAUCUUGCAGGGGACACACCUGUUCUAGUGGGGCCACUCCUCACUCUCACUCCUUACCGUUAUGCAUACCACCAAGAGUAAAUGAAACUAGGAGUGCCUGGGUGGCUCAGCAUAUUAAGGAUCUGGUGUUGUCACUGCUGUGCCUUGGGUCACGGCUGUGGUGUGGGUUCGAUUCCUGGCCUGGGAACUUCCGCAUGCUGUGGGUGCAGCCAAAGAAAAAGGAAAACAAGACCCUUGAUUUUUGGAAAAACAGCAACCUGCAUCCACUCUGAAUAACGUCCACCAGUGCGAAUGGCAUUAUCACCGGCUUCGGACUUGGCAGGCUCCUUGCUAAAACCAUGGCCUUCAGGCACCAUCUCUUUGAUCCCCUGCCACAGCCGUGUGACUUGCUAUGAUCACAAUCUGCCUUCACACAGGAGAUGCACGAAGCAUAGAGAGGAAGUCACUAGCCUGGGCCCCACCACGAGCAAAUGGGAACCAGGAUUUCGACGGAGACGGGCUGUCUUCUGAGCCCUGGCUAAGUUACAGGGCACAUGCAUGCACAUGCACGCGCGCGCACACACACAUGCAGGCGUGUACAUAUAGUCCUUUUGAGGUCUGGUAAGAAUCAGAACAAAGCAAGAUAUAAGUACACUGCUGGAGGCUGACGUAUAAAGUUAAAAGAUGACACAAGCCGGGAAGACUCGACUCUUGCUUUGCUUUUGUCUGAUCCAUCAAAGGGAAGGAGCUUAGACCAGAAAGAGCAGGACCUGCAUGGCUGGGAAGCCCAGGAUGUGCGAAAUGAUGAAAAAGAGCUCCAGUCUAGGCAAAAAGGAUUCAAAUCUUCAGGGCGGGUGUCUAAGCCGAAGCCUUGCGUGCUGGUCCUACAGAAUGCAGACACUCCUUGAUGUUGAGCCAGGAGGCACAGCGGAGCAGUGAGGUUAAACCUGCAAGAACUGGAUUCUGACAGCCACCUUGACCCCCCCACCCCACCCCCGUUCCAUCACUUAACCUCCUUGCAAACUUUGGCAACCGUUUCCCCAACCUCAAUUUUUAAUGUUUCAAAUAGAGCUUUAUCCAUAAAGUUGGAAGACCCAGAUUUUUUUUUUUUAAAGACUUCCUUAAUUUCCAAGAUUUCCUUGGUGACAGUAUGUACAUUUCCCCUUCAUUUCCAGAAGGUAUGACCUCCUGUAAAAAUAAAAACCUUUUCAACCUCAUAGGGCUGUUGUGACAGUGAAAUGCAUUAACGCCUGUACCAUUACUUAGCAGGGGGCCUGGCCUACGAGGUAUUCAACACCUAUGAUUUAAGAUGUUUUGCCGAAUCCAUUAUCCAAAGAAGGUGAUGAACAGUGGAGUUUUCAUUCCCAGUUUAAAAUUUUUCCAUCCCAACUGCAGCUUUUAAAAAUUUGCACUGUAAAUGAUAGCCAGUUUAGCCCAACAUCUAUAUGUAAUGAAUUUCUGUUGCGUAUGGCAACAUUGACACGUUUCAACAGAAGUGAUCAGGUUAGAUUUUCAACACCCGAAGCUGGUUUUAGAGACACGGACCGAGGGCAGGGAUUGGCAAGCUUUUCCAGUAAAGAGCCAUCUAGGGAAUAAGUUAUUUCAGGCUUUGAGGAUCUUAUGGUCUUGGCUGCCAUCACUCCACCCUGCAGUUUUAGUGGGAAACCAGCUCCAGAAAAUACGUACAUGAAGGGGGAGUGGCUGUUUCAAUAAAACUUUAUUUACCAAAAAACAGGUGGCGCCUGGAUUUGGCCCGAGCCUGCCAACCUCUGAAGUGGGGUGUGGCAGAAACUUGGCAGAUGUCAACAGUAAUUUCUGAGGCAUCCAGGGAAACGAGGUCGUGUCUGGGAGCCUCUAGAUAGGAAAUGAGGAGAUUGUGAGAAGGGAGAAAAGCAGAUGAAGGAUUCCAGAUGGAUAAGCUUGAUUUUGGUCCUGAGGUUCAGAAUAACCUGCCCCAGGCAAUUGCCACGGACGUGGCAGAUGCGGGGUUUGAACCUGCAAGUGCUGGCUCUGCAGUCUGUGCUCAGACCAGCUCCACAGUCCUGAGGGUGUUCAAUAGAAGACAAUUGGAUUUUCACAUAGGAAAAGUUCUUUUAAAGCCCACUUUCUGGAGUGGCUUGGGGUGGAAGCCCUGGGGACAGCAGGUGGCCACUGGGUGGUACCCGAGGUGAAAGGUACGAAGGAACACUUAUGCUUGUCUCUUUCGGUGACAUUUAUUUUCUUAUGCCAUUUAUGAUUGAGAAUGUAUUUUACAUUCUUCAAGCACUUCUGCUCACUUCUAUAUCUAUUUUCGCAGUGACAGGCUCUCUUGGAGCCAGAUGGGCCGAGGAUGGCUGUAUCCGUGUACAGAUAAAGCCGUGAGUUAUUAUUUGACAUGAGAUAAAGCCGCGAGGCAUCGAUGUGACAAGGUCACAGAGCUAGCUUUGGGAAAAAACUCACUGUAAGUGAGUCAAUUUCACCCAGGGAGGCCCAGGAGUAACUCAGAUGGAAAUGGGGUUUGCCCAGCUAAGAUUAAGAGUUCUCUCUCUUUCUACCCAAAUGGUACCCAUUUUUGUUCUUUAUAACACAGUGGCUUAUCAAGCCUUGCAUUCUCUCAGAGGCUGUGCCAUGAGUCUUAACUGAUUUCCCUCUUAUUUUUCACAGUAAGCCCACAAGGAGAACACCCUUAGACUCCCAUCUUACAGAGGAGGAAACUUGAUAAAGCUCAGGCCUAAGAAUACAAGUGCUUGCAAGAACAUUGAGCCAUUUGCAAAUAUCUUCAGAGGGCACUGCCCACUCCAUCAUAGUUUAGUUGCCAUGGAGUCCUGUUAGGUACCAGGUUUGGGGGCAACCCUUCCCUUUGCUGUUUCCCUAAUAUAUGAGGAUCUGAGUGAACCCAAGAUGCUCCCUGAGCCUCGCUCUCCUUCUCUGUGCAAUGGGAAUAAGAAUAUCCUACCCUCUGAAUUACAGGGAUGAAGGGAAAUAGCAAACGCUGCCCAGUGGCUAUCUUCUUUCAUUGUUACAACCAUGCAUUAAGUAAGUGCCUCUGGAAGGGAGCAGCACCUGGCAUACAGUAGGUGCCUCAUAUAGAUGGCUUCCCUAAGCAGCUCUCAUGUUUUUUCCUCACUGAUUUUCAGGGGUCCUGCCUGGCAAAGAGCAUCUUCAUUAUGUACCACUCCAGGGAUUAUCAAUCAGAAACUCUAUGCAAAAAAAAAAAAAAAAAAAAAAAAUCAGAUUUUGUUUUUGGAACAGCCUCUAGAUAUAGUUUGGGACAUUUAGAGCAGCUCUGCUUCUCAGGACCACUUGGUUGUGCCAGAGAGGAAAAGAGGCUGCAGGAGAGCUUCACAUCCUGUGGGCUCUGGGUGGUGGGAGGCAGUGGAAAUCAGGGGUAGGGCCUUAUACGAGAACACGCUCCUUUUCUGUCUUUCUUUUUUGAUCUCUUGCCAAUUUCUUAAUGAAAUAGGAGGGCAAGAGGGAGGUAAUUCUCUGCAGAGUCGAAAACCCCUAGAGCUGAGCGGGCACGUGCAUGAAGACAAAGCAUGUGGACGUGGAGAGAGAAAUUGUCAGUGUGCUUCGGAAACCUUUCCCGCAGCCAAUAUAACUCCAUUAGGUUUUGGAAGUGAACCCAGGUAGCACCGGGGGUUCUGAAUGUCAUAUUCCCCAACCGGUGUGUAAUUAAAAUGGAACCCUUCGAAGAAUCACUCCUCUCUCCAUUGCUCCAACCGCCCCUCCAUCGGAUGGGAUGCCAGGAAGCUGCUACCUCAAGCUUGGCUAGUUUUCUGCCAAGCUGUUUAACCAUCAGUUCUGUACGGUCUGCAUACUUCAUGCUAAGGACCCACAGUCGGUCCUUGGUCUCCAUGGGAUUUUGCAUCUGUGGACUCAACCCACCGCAGAUAGAAAAGAGGGAAAAAAAAAAAUUCUAGAAAGCUCGAGAAACCAAACUUCAAUUUGCUGUAAGCUGGCCUCUAUUCACCCAGUCUUUACAGUGUAUCUACAGAACAUUUACAUGGUAGGAGGUGUUCAGAGUCACGGAGACAUGAUUUAAAGUCUAAGGGAGGAUGUGAGGAGGUGAUGCCGGGCCAGUGUGUGUGAGGAGGAGCACCCGUGGAUUCUGGUACCCCUGGGAACCAAUCCGCGGCAGAUACUGGAUACUGAGGGACCGUAGUACCUGGUAUAGAAUCAGGCACAUACUUCACGCUAUCUGUCUUUAACUCUUCCCAGUAACCACAGCUCUGAAGCCCGAGAGGCUGUGUUGCAAGCCCUGUCUCUCCCUUUCACCCCAAUCUGCCCCCUUCCUCCUGUGAUUUUUUUUUUUAACUCAUGUUUCACUUCCUACAUUCUGGUUCUUGUUCUUUCUGGAGGCCCAGACUAGUCAAAAAACACCAGGGCACAUGAGGUUAAAGGAAACCUUAUUUCCCCCUCUUUGCUGGAAAAGCCAGUGGAGUUAACUCAGAGUUAACUGUCCUUCUAAACCCAGUUCCUCCUAAGAGGGGGCUGCUAGUGAGGGGCUGAGAAAUGCAUGGAAAUAGCCUGAAUGUGGCCUGACCAAACUGAUCGUUAGAGAAGCAAGAGGGUGCCUCAGACCCUGUGCUUUCAAAAAACUUUAUAUAGGAAGAAAGCGCCAUACCAAUGCAAAUAAAAUUUCAUAUCUGAUGAUUAGAGUGCCAUUUCUUCUGGGUCCAUGGUGGAAUUCAUAAAGGAAAAAAAAAAGAAAAAUGCAAGAGCUAAAUUAUUACAUUAAAAGAUUUGCUUUCCAUUGCAGCAACGUGGAUGCAAUGGAAGGUUAACGUACCAAGUGAAAUAAGUCAGAAAGAGAAAGACAGAUACCACGCGAUGUCACUUGUAUGCGGAAUCUAAACUAGGGCACAAAUGAACCUAUCUACAAAACAGAAACAGUCUCUCAGACAUAGAGAGCAGACUUGUGGUUGCCAAGGGGGAGGGGGGAUGGAGUGGGGUGGACGGGGAGUUUGGGGUUAGUAGAUGCAAACCACUACAUUGAGAAUGGAUAAGCAAUGAGGUCCUACUGUACAGCACGGGGAACUCUACACAGUCUCUUGGGAUAGACCCUGAUGGAAGAUCACAUGAGAAAAAGAAUGGAUAUCUUUGUAUAACUGAAUCACUUUGCUGGACAGCAGAAACUGACAGAGCAUGGUCAAUCAACGAUACUUUAACAAGACAUUUUUGGCUUUCCAAAAUCUCCAUUCGGGGUCUUAAAAAUUCAACAACUAUACAAUAAGCCACCAAAAGGAAGAAAUAUAUUACUCCCAAAUAUGCUAGAAGGGGUUUAUAUUUGUCAUGCAACCACUCUCCAGAGGAAUGACCCCUUCAACACUGUAGCUCUAUGUGAUGAUAUAAACACAAGAGAGUUGCUUGAUCUUUUAUAAAAUUUUAUGAAAAAGCAACUUUAGAAAGCUGACCUAUUUUUAUUGACCUGUCAAGCAGAGUCUAAGUAAGAACAGUGUAUUUUCCAUUUAAAUACAGCUCCAAAACACAUCAAAGUGGCCCUCUCUCCACCUGGAGAUGGCAGUCAUGGGGUUAAUAACCAGAUACUAUAAAGAACACACACACAAAUAAGACAGACACGAAGUCACCACGGAAAAAGAAAUCAAGAGUAUAGAUGAGGAUGUGGCUGCCAAAUGAAUCAACAAAACUUUAAUCUUCCUAAGAUAUCUCAAUUAAAAUACACUGGCAUGGUUUUCACUAAUCAAAUUAGCAAAUCUCUCUUGUCAUUGAUUGACUUGAUGCAGGUAAAAGUAUGGGUCGUAAAGGCGAUCGCUCUGCUGUUGCACUCAGAGAGGGCAAGGGUCGUCCAUAAAUGCAGCCUGGCAAUCCAAUUGUAUGGUUCAACCCCUUUUGUGACUGGGUCAUUCCGGGCAUAAUUUGAUGCUAGCACGCAUUUCAUAUCUGAGAAGAAAGUACUGCAAGAGGUGGCUUUGCUAAGGAAACCAAAGCCCCUGGGCCUCCAAACUGUACAGCCUCCUCUCAAGACGCCAGGAAAGGUCCCAGCGAUGUUGUAUUUACAAUUUUGUAAGUGAUCCCACAUUUGUAUAAGCGCUGCGUCUCAUCAGCUGGGUCCAUCUGGGAGCAGAGUUGGAGAAAAGGUGGAAGCUGUAAGGGGAAAAAGGCCUUGGCCAUGGGCGAGUCUCUGGCUUGGGGUCAACCAGGGUUGGAGUAAGCUAACAGACAGGGACCAUGGUCCACCCACAGGAUGGGGAGAAGCAGCAGUGGGGCCAAGAGCAUCAGCUAAAGCCCAAGUGACCUGUGAUGAGAAUGCCCUGUUAGUGACGACGCCUUGGGUGGGUGGGUGGGGGGGACCCUCAGACAAAACCGCUCUGUUCACGGAGCAGCAGGGAGGCGGCAGGUGCAGGGCCAGCCAAGUGGACGACUGACCUUGGACUCCUGCCCCAGAUCCUCCAAGCAGAUAGUGUCCUCUGUGGUGUAUAAAUAAGGGACACAGAGCCUGAGAGAUGAGGGCACUCGCUGUGGUCGCCGAGAGAGGAAGCAGCUGGUGAAGAGUUAAUCUCAGCCAGGUUCUGCCUGACUCCAAAGUUCCCCUCUUCUGUGCAAAGCCACCUUUCUUAUCUUGCAAAACAUCAUAAACCCUGGCUCGGAAGGCCCGUCCUGCGAGUUAGGCAGACGAGGGUAAGGAACCAUGUAAAGAUGGGAGAUGGGAACUAAAACUAAUCCUCGGGGCUCACGUGGGAAAUUGCUUCAGGUAUUUCAAGAAAUAAAGUUGGUCAUUCGAGGAACAAAGCACCUCAGUUUCCCAUUUACUUAAUACUCAACAAACUGACCCAUAAUGGAUCAGUCUCUUAACACACAGGGGGCUCAUGUGGGCCUGAGCCCACGCGGGAGAUGAAAAGAAUAUCUGACUUUUUGGCCUGGCCGGAUGGAAAAGCCAGACCUGGGCUGCCACUCCCGCAGGCCCAUGCCUGUGGUGGGGAGACCAGCCUUCUAGAAAAUCGGGGGUGUUGGAUAAAGUGGCUUCACUUGCAAUGUACAUGCUCGCUGAUUCCGCUCAGGGCUUCAUCGAUCGUAGCUCUAGACGAACCGCAAGAAGUACUUGGAUCACGUCUCCUCCCCCGUUCAUGGUUCUCCUCUCCACCCACAAGGUGUGAAACGUGGUUUUCUUCCUUGAUGCUGUGGGCUUAAUUUCCUCAUCUAAAAUGGGACAUGAAGCCUGUGUGCCUCGUUCGGACGCUGUGAGGAAUGCGCCCAUGGCAGGCCCUCCAGGUACACUGCCUGCUUCCCCUGCACCUGCUAUCCUCAUGGAUUAUUUUCUUUUACUAUUUUCUUUUAUUUUUACACCCACACGUAUGACAUAUGGAAAUUCCCCAGCUAGGGGUUGAAUCUGAGCUGCAGCUGAGGCCUGCACCACAGCCACGGCCACACUGGAUCCAGGCCUCGUCCAUGACCUACCCUGCAAGCUUGCGGCCAAGCCAGAUCCUUAACCCAUGGACCAAGGCCAGAGGGCAAACCCGCAUCCUCACAGAUACUAUGUCGGGUCCUUAACCUGCUGAGCCACAGUGGGAACUCCCCAUGGAUUAUUUAAAAAAAAAAACAUUAUGCUACUCAUGCACCUGUUUUCUCCCUACGAGGUUUUGUGGUUCCUGUCAGAUAGGACCGCUUCUGUGAUGGUGCCUCAGGAACAGAACUGUUGCCAUUUGGCCUGUUAUGACCAGUUCUAACGAAUGGUCAGUUAUCAUUCCGUUAAUUCUUAGUUUGAACUCUCCUUUCCCACUGUCUCCCUGGCCGAAUUGAUAGCAUUCACUUUAGGGAGGAUGAGAUCUCCACGUGUGUCUAAUAAAUUCAUCCAUGGAGCAGCUGGUACAGAGCAGGCUAGGCAAGACCACAGGUUCCUGAGUGGGCCAGGGUAGCAGUUAGGAGCUUGGUAUUGAGGUCAAAUACCUAGAGAACUAGUUCUGCCAUUAACUAGCUGGGUCUCUCCCAAAUCUCACUGUUCUCUUUUAUUAAUUGAUUGAUUGGUUUGCUUAUUGAUUUGCAUUUUUUCCAUGAUGGUUCGUUAUGGGAUGUUGAACAUAGCUCCCUGUGCUUUACACCGAGACCUGUGCUUAUCC